rnacentral:lncRNA from 1 species
GGAGUAUCACCACGAGCCGAAACCUCCUCGUCAGAGCUUUCACUCUCUGAUUCGGUAGGAGUAGGAGGUUUGUUGCCUGGAGGAACAUACUCAGAGUCUGAAUCCCUAGAGGAUUGAAGAAUAAGCCUCCGAGCUGGCUUUUUGAGCUUCUUCUGCUUAGGCUGGGAAGGAGCACUCUUGUCUGACUUUUGCUUGUUUGGAGUUUGCCCCGUAGCUGGUUUAAUGACCCUCACAUCCUUUUGUUUUUCUGGUUUCUUUCCCCUCUUUGCAGGCUUGUCUGCUUCCUCUAUAGAGCGAAUCAUAGCAGGAGUGAAUUCCCUUGGACCCAAAGAAGGAAGCUUCUUGUAUUUUUUAAUGACGUUACUUUCCUAAGACACACAAGAAUACAUGGUUUCUGGAAUCGAUCCAAUGAAGAGAAACUUGUAAGGAUCUGUGACGAUAAUCUUCGUUGUGUGAAAUGUCGCAAUGGAUGAGAGAAGGUAGUUCGCCAUGAUUGGUACGUGAAGACGAUCCAUGGCCCACUUUGUGAUAAUCGAUCAGUACCUGCCACACGAAAUCUCAGAGUGGCGAGCAGAAGAGUAUAAACUCUGAAUAAGUUGUUACCAUAUGACCGCCCCAAAGUCCAGAUGUACACCAUUGUACAACCCGUAAAGCAUAGUCGUAAAUGACUUGCUUGCUCCGUCUGAUCCAGUGCUUCGCUCUGAGAGGCCCUUGAAUAAGAGAGUAAAGAGGUCGUUCCAUUGUGGGGGAAGGCAGGAUUUCUUGAACUUCAUGACAGUAGUUAGGGUUGCAGUGUACCUCAUUUGGUAGAACAUUGAGAACAGUUGACUAGUGGUGAUGGAGUCAAGGUUAACUAGAGUGGGUUCGUGAGCAAGUCCAAGUAGGGAAAAGAAGCGAUUCUUUGAAAUCGAGGUCUUCUCACUAUGAAUGUCAAAGUGAAUACUCUCAGCAACCUUGUCAUAGUAAGAGGUUGAAUAGAUGUGAGAGAGGCAAGACAUGGGAGCAACUUCCACCUUUGUAAGAGCAUCAACAAGUGGAGAGUAUUUGAGGCAUUCUACCACAUACAACAUGUAGGGUUCAUAGAUGAAUGGUGUAAGAUCAAUGAUGAGGUUUUGCUGAGGCUUAAUGGUCAGAAGGUGGGAGUGAACAGCGGUAUCUUGAAUAGAAGACGAUUCUGCCAUGGAAGAAGCUUGAGAAGAAGAUGUUGAACAAUUAGAGAAAUCGGCUUUUUCUUUUAGAAGAUUUGAGAAUGGUAAAAGAGUAAAGUUGAUCAUGAGAAACCCUUUUAUACGUGAGAGUAGGAGAGAGAAAGAUUUGCCUAAAAUCUCGUCCUUUUGUGAAACGUUUCCUGAUGCGAUGGGGAGUAGACAGUUGGCAACCCCGAUGAUCACGCAGGAGAGAGAAAACAUGUUUCACUUUUUACGUGCCUUUCCAUUGAAAUUACAUUUUUAAAAUUGACAAAACAAUUGGAUAAUAGCUGACUCAUCCAUUGUGCUUUAUCUGAAACGUCACCCACAUAAUUCACAUGAACCGUCAACACCCUUAUUAUAUCGAUUGAAAAUCACCAUAAUGCUUUGUAGAACCCAACCUUAUAAAUUAGCUCAUUUAUAAAAUAAAGCCAGACUUUUGGAUGCAUAAAGUGUGAAUGAUAAGGAAAUAAAUCAAAUUUUGUGGGAUAGUGUGAUGUAGAUUAGGACAUAAAAUAGUAGAUCCUGGACACGAAUCUCUUCCUUUCAAGUCAAGAGAGACUUCAAAGUGUCUGUGUGGUUUCCCGUUAAAAUACAAUCAAAUACUUUUGAAGAAGCAAUGCACGGUAUCUUUUAGAUAUGAGCCUUAUAAGGGUGGCUGUCUUUUCAAUUCAAAUUUCGGUAGUUGAUAUAAGACCAAAAGAGAAUGAAUUACUUGUGAGACCAAUGUGGUCUGUUGAACAAGUAGGUUAGAAAUAUUUUCAGUGAUUUGUUGAAUUUUCAGUAACAAAUCUCACAAAAAAAAAUAAUAAAAAAAAUAAAAAAAAUAAAACUGGAUCAUUGGGGAAGAAAAGUUUUGGCAAUAGAAAAUUCAAAAGGAUCUCUAAAAAUGAAAAGAGAUUUCAUGGUGACACUUCAUAGAGUGGUUUCGUCAAUUCAUUAUUGGUAUUGAAUUUUUGGGUUUCACUUAGUACGUAGUGGCAUGAAACUAAGAUCAUAAACGCAGACGUUGUGUAACCGUAAACCUCAGUGGUAAGUGUUGAGAGUCUCAAGGGUUACAUGAAUGAGAUGAAGUGUAAUGGAGAAGAAUGAUGGAUGUGGUUUAAGAAGCGAAUGUACCUCUGCUAUAAAAGUAAGACCUAGCAGAAAACUCUUAACUCAAUAUGAGAAGAGUAAGGUAGCUCUCGAUUAGAGUGAAUGUAACAGCCUAAUUUGGAAAAUGUGAUUUGUAUUUAUCACAUUAUUAAGGUUUCACUAAAAAAACUUUUGAGGCUUUGGUCAACAUGCAGCAGCAUGCAUCUAGGGACAAUUAACUAGUCUUAUGAAAAGAUUUUAUACCUUCUGCAGCUCCACCAUUAAGAGUAUCUUUUAUAUGAAAAAAAACAAUAAUAUAUAUAUAUAUAUAUAUAUAUAUUUGGAUUUUGUGAAGAAUUUCUAAUGAGAAAUAAAAACAAAGAGAAAAUUAUUUUUGGAUUUUAUAAUAUAAAAAAAAGAAAUCAAAAACGUAAAAAUAAGUAUGAAAAAGAGUGUACAAAACAAUACAACCGAAAUUCCUUUUAAUGAAAAGGAAGCGAACGAGUUCAGAUGGACCGAACCCGAAAUAGACCGAGCGUUUGGUUCAUUUCAGUUCCCAGGUGAACCGAACCUCAAAUAAACCGAGCGUUUACUCUAUUUCGCUUCUAACCUUUAAUGAAGCGAAGGAGAUUUCGGUAUUGAUUCAGCUUCCAUCAUUCCUAGGCCUUGUAAGAUCUUAUUAAAACUUGCUUCAGGUAAGGCCUUGGUGAAUAUAUCUGCUAAUUGAUCAGUGGUCUUAACGAAAUGAAUCUCUACGUUACCAUCUUCCACAUGUUCUUUAAUGAAGUGAUACCGCAGUGCUAUGUGCUUUGUCUUCGAGUGUUGCAUUGGGUUAUGACGAAUCCUAAUUGAACAUUCGGAGUCGCAAUAUAAUGGGAUUUUCUUCUGUUGGAUUAGUGUCUAAGGCUGUAACUAUAGUUGGUAAGUAUUUGACCCGGUUGUGCAUGGUCUUUUUGGGUUGCGUUCACCAUAGCAACUUGACAGGGUGAUUUGUUAAGAGAGAAGAGAUAUUAUUGUUAAUAUAUUAUGAGAGUAAUAUAAUGUAGGAAUAAUAAUAUUAUUUGAUUAAUAUAAGUCAUAUAUUAAUUGAGAAUUAAUUUGGUGACUUAAAGAGAUUAAUUGAAUAAAGGGGCAUAAACUGUCAAAUGUGUCAUAGUUGUGUUUAGGGCUAUGAAUCCUUAUGGAUAUGGGAAGGGACGAUUUUAAGGAUAUGGAUAUCUUAAAAACGUCCAAGGCCUUAUCUAGAAGGAUCUUUGGAUUGCUUUGAGGCUAAGUUGUCCAAUUAGGGUUUAAGGGGAAACCCUAGGAGCUCAUAGUAAAAAUAGGCCCUUAGGGUUAGAGAAAUCGGCCACUCUAUCUUUGAAGAAACCCUAGAGCCGAUUUCUCUCCUCUCUCUCUCUCUCUCAAAUCAUCUUCUUGCUAGUUGGUGUUUGUAAGCCAUUAGAGGAGUGACAAUUGUGACUCUAAGCUCCAAGAAGAAGAAGUACCAAGAAAGUAAUACAAGGUAUUCUUCUAGAUCCUAAUUCAUAUGAUUAGAAUCAAUUGUUUACAUUAGAUCUAGGAUUGUAAGUCUUGGAUUCAAUGCAUGUUCAAUUAGAGAAACCUUGAUCCAAGCAAUUAGGGUUUGUAUGUGCACAUAGGAAAGUUCUUGUGGCUCAAACCCAUCAUCUUCAUGUUCAGCCCAUAGUCCCUAAGCUGACUUUGUAUCCAAACGACCUGAGAUGUGCAUGAUGCAAUAACUAUAUAUUCAGCUUCAGCCACGGAGAGCGAAACACAGGUUUGUUUCUAAGAUUGCCAACUAACUAAUUUGCCAUCAAGAAAUUGGUAUCCUCCAGUAGUGCUUUUACGAUUCAAUCCACAACCCCCUAGUUUAGCAUCUGAGAAUGCUUGGACAAAAAAUCUUGAGUUGGCUGGAUACCCUAGACUGAGAGAGGAUGUUCGCUUUAGAAAGCGAAAGAUGUUCUUCACAGCCGGCAUGUGAGGUUCGCAUGGGUUGGAUUGAAAUCGAGCAUAAUAGCAGAAUGAGAACUUAAUGUCCGGCCUACUGGCUGUAAGAUACAUAAGUGAUCCAAUCAUCUGACGAUAAAGCGUCAUGUCAACAGCCGGUUUGUCCAAUGGUGGCGUCAUCUUGGUGCCAAACGCCAUAGGAACCUUCACCCUUGAGUCCCCUAACAUCCGAAACUUGGAAAGUAAUGUUUUUGUGUAUGCCUCUUGAUUGAUAAAAAUGCCUUCGGGUCCCUGUCUAAUAUUUAAGCCAAGGAAAAAGUUAAUUGGACCCAUUGAGCUCAUCUCAAAUUUAGUUUCCAUCAACUUCCUGAAUUCAGCUGUUAGGCUGGGAUUCGUAGAGCCGAAGAUGAUGUCAUCAACAUAAAUUUGGACUAUCAUAAGGUGGUUACCCUCUCUCUUAUGAAAAAAGGUUGGGUAAACCGAACCUUGUUUAAAUUUGGACAUUUUUAAGAAUCGAGUGAGGGUUUCAUACCAUGCUCUGGGAGCUUGCUUCAGGCUAUAUAUUGCUUUGUCUAGAAUAUAGCGGUGAUCUGGAUGCUUCUCGCUCACACAGCCUGGCGGUUACUCUACGUACACAGUUUCUUCAAGUUCUCUGUUGAGAAAGGCACACUUCAUGUCCAUUUGAUAGACUUCAAAAUUCUUGUGUGCAACAUAUGCAAGAAAGAUUCAAACCGAUUCUAAUCUUGCAACUGGAGUGAAGGUCUCUUCAUAAUCUAUACCUUCCUCUUGACAAUAUCCUUUCACGACCAACCAGGCCUUGUUGUGAACCACAUUCCCUUCCUUGUCCAUCUUAUUUCUGAAUACCCAUUUGAGAUUCUUGGUUUUAAGCUGAGUAGUCUUGAGAGCAAGCUCAUCCAUGACUGAGUUCUCCAUUUCUAGAUCCGCUUGAAGCUUUGUGAAAGGUCCAUUGAGAGAGGAUAAAAGGGCAACAUUUUCCUUUUGAAUAUCUUGGCGAAGAGUGGCAAAGUUUUUCUUCUCAGCAGCAAAUGCUUCUUCGAGUUUAGUAAUUGAGUUGGUCACUUUAGAAGCGUUCAACUCAGCUGCUCCCUAUAAAGACUCAAGAAAAAUAUUAGCAUUUUCAAUUAGUUUAUCGACUUUUUUGGUCGCCUCUAUUUAAACUUUAGUUUAAGCUUCAAUAGCUGUUGUGGCAUUAGAAAUGGAAGCAUCAUGAGCCUUGACAAAGUAGUCAAGCAUGCCCUGAAUAGCAGCCUUAGAAAAUGGAUGAUGAGAGGAGGAAGAGGCCAUGAGAGUGUCGAGUUUGGCAUUCAGCUCCUUAAUGUGCUUUUUGGUAAUAGGAGCAUCAUCAUCUUCAUCACCUUGAACACGGUAAGGGCCAUAGUAAAAGGAAUCAAAUUUCAUGUCUUCUCCACCAAGGACAGUGUUGGUUUCGGUUGAAGGUGUGGGAGAUAGUGGUUUGGUUGUUUCUGGGACUGAAGACCGAACCCCCGUAUCAGAUACGUUGGUUUGAACUCUAGUGGUGGUUGCUUUUGCAGCUUCAGAAAAUAGAGGAGUGGGAAUAGGAAUGGUAGAGGUAGGUUGUGAUGUGAUAACUAGGAAGGUUGUUGGUAAGGAAAUAGGAAUAGCAGCAGGUGGAGAGGAAGGAACUGGCGAGCGAACAGGUACCUCGGGUGUGGGUGAUCUAAGUGGAGUAUCACCACGAGCCGAAACCUCCUCGUCAGAGCUUUCACUCUCUGAUUCGGUAGGAGUAGGAGGUUUGUUGCCUGGAGGAACAUACUCAGAGUCUGAAUCCCUAGAGGAUUGAAGAAUAAGCCUCCGAGCUGGCUUUUUGAGCUUCUUCUGCUUAGGCUGGGAAGGAGCACUCUUUUCUGACUUUUGCUUGUUUGGAGUUUGCCCUGUAGUUGGUUU